GUCUCUAUCUAUCGUGGGCGCAGGAGACUUGCGCGGAGAUGGCACUAGUACGAGAGGACCGUGCCGUACAGACCUCUGGUCUACCGGUUGUCCCGCCCGGGGCACCGCCGGGUAUCCACGUCUGGCAGGGAUAAGCGCUGAACGCAUCUAAGCACGAAGCCCCCCGCAAGAUUAGGUCUCCAUUGAGGGUCGUCCGAGACGAGGACGUUGAUAGGAGGCAGGUGUAAAGGCGGUGACGCCAAAGCCGAGCCUUACUAAUUGCCCGAGUCCUUCUGCUCU
rnacentral:rRNA from 1 species